UAGGGAAUCUUCCACAAUGGGCGAAAGCCUGAUGGAGCAACGCCGCGUGUGUGAUGAAGGGUUUCGGCUCGUAAAACACUGUUGUAAGAGAAGAAUGACAUUGAGAGUAACUGCUCAAUGUGUGACGGUAUCUUACCAGAAAGGAACGGCUAAAUACGUGCCAC
rnacentral:rRNA from 1 species